UGUGCUUGGGGAAGGUGGUGCUGUUGUUUGUGCUGGGCUUGCUGCAGCUUUUGAGUUUGGACUGUAGGAAGCAGUUAUUUCCCCUACUUGGAAAAGGUGUGGCUUUCUGUUCCUUCUGCAAGGACUUUCAGGAAUUACUGGAGCUUUCCUACCCUGGCCUUUGGGAAGAGUUCAGCUGUUGACAGCUGUUGCCCAAGGAAUGGCUUCGAAGUGGCUGUAAAUCAGCGCAGCUCCGGGGCUCUCCUGGCUGAGAUGCUGGCUCCAGACCUUGCUUGCUCUGAGGAUUUUUCCAGAACAUCCCUGCUGUCUAGAAAAGCUAAGGUCUAAGCUGGGCCUUGCAAGGCCUGGUUCCGGAAUGGAGCCACAAAACUGUCUGUCCCCGAUGAGAUUCCCGCGGCGUUCCCACCAGCCUGCUGACCUGGCUCCUCUCAGCUGCCCCACUUAUCUCAAGUUUCCUAUCGGACAUCGAGACUGGCCCUUGUGCAGAAGCUGCUUCCAACCCAAUCUGUCGGUGAGAGGAGCUGUCCUGGGACAGAACCCCAUGGGAACCCAUCCAACACCCACACGGAAACACUCAAGCUGGACCACAGGGCCUCACAGUGAGAACUGCAUCACCAGCCCCACAAGGGCUCCUUCAGAGGCAUCACGUUCUUGAAACCCCUUCAAGAGGAGAUGCUGAAACCUGCCCCAGGCUCCCUGACCCUGAUGCCAGUAGCCAACUUGUGGACUUCAGCAUGUUUCCUCAGGUGGUUCUUGUGGGGCAGCUCUGUACUGAAAAGACCACUCUGCACUGCUGCAACUGGAGAGGUGAAAGUGGCUGAAGCAUUCCAGCAGCAUCUAUUUACCUUGUUUAUUACCAUGUCUGAUGGUCUGUGUUUAUCUGUGGUUCUGUGAUGUGUAGUCACUUACCCUGUGUUCAAUGUGCCUGGCACCUUAGCCAGGGGGUGAGUGCCCUUUCUUGAACA